ACUCCUACGGGAGGCAGCAGUAAGGAAUAUUGGUCAAUGGACGCAAGUCUGAACCAGCCAUGCCGCGUGGAGGAUGAAGGCCCUCUGGGUUGUAAACUUCUUUUAUCUGGGACGAAAAAGGGACUUUCUAGUUCAACUGACGGUACCAGAGGAAUAAGCACCGGCUAACUCCGUGCCAGCAGCCGCGGUAAUACGGAGGGUGCAAGCGUUAUCCGGAUUCACUGGGUUUAAAGGGUGCGUAGGUGGGUUGGUAAGUCAGUGGUGAAAUCUCCAGGCUUAACUUGGAAACUGCCAUUGAUACUAUUAAUCUUGAAUACCGUGGAGGUCAGCGGAAUAUGUCAUGUAGCGGUGAAAUGCUUAGAUAUGACAUAGAACACCAAUUGCGAAGGCAGCUGGCUACACGAAUAUUGACACUGAUGCACGAAAGCGUGGGGAUCAAACAGGAUUAGAUACCCUGGUAGUCCACGCCCUAAACGAUGGAUACUCGACAUACGCGAUAUACUGUGUGUGUCUGAGCGAAAGCAUUAAGUAUCCCACCUGGGAAGUACGAUCGCAAGAUUGAAACUUAAAGGAAUU
rnacentral:rRNA from 1 species